rnacentral:rRNA from 1 species
UUGUAGUCUGCAACUCGACUACAUGAAGCUGGAAUCGCUAGUAAUCGCGAAUCAGAAUGUCGCGGUGAAUACGUUCCCGGGUCUUGUACACACCGCCCGUCACACCAUGGGAGUUGGGAAUGCCCGAAGCCGGUGACCUAACCGAAAGGGAGGAGCCGUCGAAGGCAGGCUUGAUAACUGGGGUGAAGUCGUAACAAGGUAUC